UAUUGGACAAUGGGGGGAACCCUGAUCCAGCGACGCCGCGUGAGUGAAGAAGUAUUUCGGUAUGUAAAGCUCUAUCAGCAGGGAAGAAAGAAAUGACGGUACCUGACUAAGAAGCCCCGGCUAACUACGUGCCAGCAGCCGCGGUAAUACGUAGGGGGCAAGCGUUAUCCGGAUUUACUGGGUGUAAAGGGAGCGUAGACGGCGGGGCAAGUCUGGAGUGAAAGGCCGGGGCCCAACCCCGGGACCGCUCUGGAACCUGCCCGGCUGGAGUGCGGGAGAGGUAAGCGGAAUUCCUAGUGUAGCGGUGAAAUGCGUAGAUAUUAGGAGGAACACCAGUGGCGAAGGCGGCCUGCUGGACAGAAACUGACGUUGAGGCUCGAAAGCGUGGGGAGCAAACAGG
rnacentral:rRNA from 1 species